rnacentral:rRNA from 1 species
UACGUAGGGUGCGAGCGUUGUCCGGAAUUAUUGGGCGUAAAGGGCUCGUAGGCGGUUUGUCGCGUCGGGAGUGAAAUCCACUGGCUUAACUGGUGGCUUGCUUUCGAUACGGGCAGACUGGAGGUAUGCAGGGGAGAACGGAAUUCCUGGUGUAGCGGUGGAAUGCGUAGAGAUCCGGAAGAACACCGGUGGCGAAGGCGGUCUGCUGGGGUCGAACUGACGCUGAGGCGCGACAGCGUGGGGAGCAAACAGGG